CCUACGGGGGGCAGCAGUGAGGAAUAUUGGUCAAUGGACGAGAGUCUGAACCAGCCAAGUAGCGUGAAGGAUGACUGCCCUAUGGGUUGUAAACUUCUUUUAUAUGGGAAUAAAAUGUUCCACGUGUGGGAUUUUGUAUGUACCAUAUGAAUAAGGAUCGGCUAACUCCGUGCCAGCAGCCGCGGUAAUACGUAGGAUCCGAGCGUUAUCCGGAUUUAUUGGGUUUAAAGGGAGCGUAGGUGGAUUGUUAAGUCAGUUGUGAAAGUUUGCGGCUCAACCGUAAAAUUGCAGUUGAAACUGGCAGUCUUGAGUACAGUAGAGGUGAGCGGAAUUCGUGGUGUAGCGGUGAAAUGCUUAGAUAUCACGAAGAACUCCGAUUGCGAAGGCAGUUCACUGGACUGCAACUGACACUGAGGCUCGAAAGUGUGGGUAUCAAACAGGAUUAGAUACCCUUGUAGUC
rnacentral:rRNA from 1 species